rfam:Capsicum annuum cultivar Zunla-1 chromosome 11, whole genome shotgun sequence
AGACUAUUAAUGGUGUGGACAGUCCUGUAGUAGAGCCUUGAAAUUCUCCCAAGCAUGAUAUAAAUUUUCAUCUGGCUUUUGUUUGAAGCACACAAUCUCACUACAAAGUCU